AGAGCGGACCACGUCUGUUAUUUGUGUGCACUAAUGUACUCAUAACUGUAAGUGUCUGCAAGA
rnacentral:snoRNA from 1 species